UACGUAGGGUCCGAGCGUUGUCCGGAAUUAUUGGGCGUAAAGAGCUCGUAGGCGGUCUGUCACGUCGGCUGUGAAAUCCCGAGGCUCAACCUCGGGUCUGCAGUCGAUACGGGCAAACUAGAGUAUUGCAGGGGAGACUGGAAUUCCUGGUGUAGCGGUGAAAUGCGCAGAUAUCAGGAGGAACACCGGUGGCGAAGGCGGGUCUCUGGGCAAUAACUGACGCUGAGGAGCGAAAGCGUGGGGAGCGAACAGG
rnacentral:rRNA from 1 species